CAGCAGCCGCGGUAAUACGAGGGGUGCAAGCGUUAUUCGGAUUGAUUGGGUGUAAAGGGUGUGCAGACGGCUUAUUAAGUCACUUGUUAAAUUCUUCGGCCUAACUGAAGGUCUGCAAGUGAUACUGAUGAGCUAGAGGGUGGAAGAGAGAAGUGGGAUUCUCGGAGUAGCGGUAAAAUGCGUAGAUCUCGAGAGGAACACCAAUGGCGAAGGCAGCUUCUUGGUCCAUUCCGGACGUUCAUACACGAAAGCGUGGGGAGCGAACAGGAUUAGAUACCCCAGUAGUCCCUGUCUCUUAUAC
rnacentral:rRNA from 1 species